rnacentral:misc_RNA from 1 species
GGCCGGGUUUUAGUAUAUACGAGUUUUUUUUUUGAAAUAUCUAAAAGAAGCAAUACCCCCUCUUGUUCUAUCAAGAGGAGGUUAUUUCUUCUUUUAGAUAUUUUCAAUCUCGGC